rnacentral:rRNA from 1 species
GAGGAUACGGUUAACGGAGCGAAAGCGACGUUCAACCGCAAAAGAAGCAGAGGGGGCUUAGUGGUGGGGUGACUGCGUACCUUUUGUAUAAUGGGUCAGCGACUUAUAUUCUGUAGCAAGGUUAACCGAAUAGGGGAGCCGGAGGGAAACCGAGUCUUAACCGGGCGUUAAGUUGCAGGGUAUAGACCCGAAACCCGGUGAUCUAGCCAUGGGCAGGUUGAAGGUUGGGUAACACUAACUGGAGGACCGAACCGACUAAUGUUGAAAAAUUAGCGGAUGACCUGUGGCUGGGGGUGAAAGGCCAAUCAAACCGGGAGAUAGCUGGUUCUCCCCGAAAGCUAUUUAGGUAGCGCCUCGUGAAUUCAUCUCCGGGGGUAGAGCACUGUUUCGGCUAGGGGGCCAUCCCGGCUUACCAACCCGAUGCAAACUGCGAAUACCGGAGAAUGUUAUCACGGGAGACACACGGCGGGUGCUAACGUCCGUCGUGAAGAGGGAAACAACCCAGACCGCCAGCUAAGGUCCCAAAGUCAUGGUUAAGUGGGAAACGAUGUGGGAAGGCCCAGACAGCCAGGAUGUUGGCUUAGAAGCAGCCAUCAUUUAAAGAAAGCGUAAUAGCUCACUGGUCGAGUCGGCCUGCGCGGAAGAUGUAACGGGGCUAAACCAUGCACCGAAGCUGCGGCAGCGAACGUAUCACUUAAAGCGAUUCAGCGGGUUACGAUUGACGGAGCGAAGCGACGUCAAAGCGUAUACAAAGUC